UACGUAAGGUGCAAGCGUUAAUCGGAAUUACUGGGCGUAAAGCGUGCGCAGGCGGUUUUGUAAGUCUGUCGUGAAAUCCCCGGGCUCAACCUGGGAAUUGCGAUGGAGACUGCAAGGCUAGAAUCUGGCAGAGGGGGGUAGAAUUCCACGUGUAGCAGUGAAAUGCGUAGAGAUGUGGAGGAACACCGAUGGCGAAGGCAGCCCCCUGGGUCAAGAUUGACGCUCAUGCACGAAAGCGUGGGGAGCAAACAGG
rnacentral:rRNA from 1 species